UAGGGAUAAGAUAAGAGACAAGGCAUUUUUUAUUUGUAUUACGAGAAUAUGAGGACAUUAUUACAGAAAAUAAUGGAAGACUGAGACGAUCUGCACCAGCUCCCUAGAUCCAUCACUGCAGUGCAUUCAGCCCAGCAGUAAAGAGAUCCAGGCUUGAAGAUUAAAUAAAUACAAAAUGCAUCCAUUUCUCCACAGGCUAUUCCUAAAGAAUUGGACCAAUGGAAUCAUUCAGGCAGCAAGUUCAUCCAUGAUGGAAGGAAAAAGAAUUAAUUUCAUCCACAAGAACAUGAAGUGAUGGAAAAAAUUUGCAGCU